GAUGAACGCUGGCGGCGUGCCUAAUACAUGCAAGUCGAGCGAACGGACGAGAAGCUUGCUUUUCUGAUGUUAGCGGCGGACGGGUGAGUAACACGUGGAUAACCUACCUAUAAGACUGGGAUAACUUCGGGAAACCGGAGCUAAUACCGGGUAAUAUUUUGAACGUCAUGGUUCAAAAGUGAAAUACGGUCUUGCUGUCACUGAUAGAUGGAUCCUCGCUGCAUUGGCUAGUUGGUAAGGUAACGGCUUACCAAGGCAACGAUGCAUAGGCGACCUGAGAGGGUGAUCGGGCACAGUGGAACUGUAACACGGUCCAGACACCUACGGGAGGCAGAAGUAGGGACUGUUCGGCAAUGGGCGGAAGCCUGACGGAGCAACGCCGCGUGGGUGCUGAAGGUCUUCGGAUCGUAAAACUCUGUUAUUAGGGAAAAACAUAUGCGUAAGUAACUGUGCACAUUUUGACGGUACCUAAAUAGAAAGCCACGGCUAACUACGUG
rnacentral:rRNA from 1 species